CACGGAAGGCGCCUCUCCGUCGCAGGCGUCAGGGGUUGCCCUGCCAUCGCCAUUAAGAUGGGAAACCAGAAGCCUGCAACUACCAACAGGCCACCCGACUACCCAGGAAAGCGCUCUGUGCCUGCCUUUAGAGGUGUGUGGAUUUGUGAACAACGCUGCAGCAGCCUGGAAGACCCAAACUGAAGAUUGCAGAGAGCUCUGACAGUUUUUAUUUACAUUUAUGUUUGUCUUCGAAUCUAGGAUAUUAAAACACAUACAACUCGU
rnacentral:lncRNA from 1 species